rnacentral:tRNA from 1 species
AUUUUAAUAGUCGAACAGACUAAAAUUUUUAAUUUCUUCAUUAAAAUU